UACAGAGGAUGCAAGCGUUAUCCGGAAUGAUUGGGCGUAAAGCGUCUGUAGGUGGCUUUUUAAGUCCGCCGUCAAAUCCCAGGGCUCAACUCUGGACAGGCGGUGGAAACUACCAAGCUGGAGUACGGUAGGGGCAGAGGGAAUUUCCGGUGGAGCGGUGAAAUGCGUAGAGAUCGGAAAGAACACCAACGGCGAAAGCACGCUGCUGGGCCGACACUGACGCUGAGGCGCGAAAGCGUGGGGAGCAAACAGG
rnacentral:rRNA from 1 species